CCUACGGGAGGCAGCAGUGGGGGAUAUUGCACAAUGGGGGAAACCCUGAUGCAGCGACGCCGCGUGUGGGAAGACGGUCCUCUGGAUUGUAAACCACUGUCCCCGGGACCAAAAUGACGGUACCUGGGGAAGAAGGCUCGGCUAACUACGUGCCAGCAGCCGCGGUAAUACGUAGGGAGCGAGCGUUGUCCGGAAUUACUGGGUGUAAAGGGAGCGGAGGCGGGGAUGCAAGUUGGGUGUAAAAACUACCGGCUUAAAUGGUAGUCGCACUCAAAACUGCAGCUCUUGAGUGAAGUAGAGGCAGGCGGAAUUCCUAGUGUAGCGGUGAAAUGCGUAGAUAUUAGGAGGAACACCAGUGGCGAAGGCGGCCUGCUGGGCUUUUACUGACGCUGAGGCUCGAAAGUGUGGGGAGCAAACAGGAUUAGAUACCCGAGUAGUC
rnacentral:rRNA from 1 species